rnacentral:rRNA from 1 species
AGAGUUUGAUCCUGGCUCAGGAUGAACGCUGGCGGUAUGCCUAACACAUGCAAGUCGUACGAGGGUUUUUAACUCUAGUGGCGGACGGGUGAGUAACACGUGAGAAUUUGCCUUUAGGAGGGGGAUAACAAUCGGAAACGAAUGCUAAUACCCCAUAUGCUUUUGAGUGAAAUGGAUUUAUCCGCCUAAAGAGAAGCUCGCGGCUGAUUAGCUUGUUGGUAAGGUAAGAGCUUACCAAGGCGACGAUCAGUAUCUGGUUUGAGAGGACGAUCAGACACACUGGAACUGAGACACGGUCCAGACUCCUACGGGAGGCAGCAGUGGGGAAUUUUCCGCAAUGGGCGAAAGCCUGACGGAGCAAUACCGCGUGAGGGAAGACUGCCUAUGGGUUGUAAACCUCUUUUUUCAGGGAGGAAUAAAAUGACGUGUACCUGAAGAAUAAGCAUCGGCUAACUCCGUGCCAGCAGCCGCGGUAAGACGGAGGAUGCAAGUGUUAUCCGGAAUCACUGGGCGUAAAGCGUCUGUAGGUGGUUUAAUAAGUCAACUGUUAAAUCUUGAGGCUCAACUUCAAAAUCGCAGUCGAAACUAUUAGACUAGAGUAUAGUAGAGGUAAAGGGAAUUUCCAGUGGAGCGGUGAAAUGCGUAGAUAUUGGAAAGAACACCGAUGGCGAAAGCACUUUACUGGGCUAUUACUAACACUCAGAGACGAAAGCUAGGGUAGCAAAUGGGAUUAGAUACCCCAGUAGUCCUAGCCGUAAACUAUGGAUACUAGAUGUUGAACAGAUCGACCUGUGCAGUAUCAAAGCUA